AACGAACGCUGGCGGCGUGCCUAACACAUGCAAGUCGAACGAGAAAGGGGCUUCGGCUCCGAGUAAAGUGGCGCACGGGUGAGUAACACGUGGGUAACCUGCCUCUAAGGUUGGGAUAACUCGUCGAAAGAUGAGCUAAUACCGAAUAAGACCACAGUUCCUGCGGGAACAGGGGUCAAAGGUAGCCUCUGCUUGCAAGCUAUUACUUAGAGAUGGGCCUGCGCACCAUUAGCUAGUUGGUAGGGUAACGGCCUACCAAGGCAAAGAUGGUUAAGUGGUAUGAGAGGAUGAACAGCCACACUGGAACUGAGACACGGUCCAGACUCCUACGGGAGGCAGCAGUGGGGAAUAUUGCGCAAGGGGCGAAAGCUUGACGCAGCAACGCCGCGUGAGUGAUGAAGGCCUUCGGGUCGUAAAGCUCUGUCGGGAGGAACGAAUGCUCCUGAGGUUAACAGCCUCGGGAGGUGACGGUACCUUCAAAGGAAGCACCGGCUAACUCUGUGCCAGCAGCCGCAGUAAAAC
rnacentral:rRNA from 1 species